rnacentral:rRNA from 1 species
AUUGAACGCUGGCGGCGUGCUUAACACAUGCAAGUCGAUCGGUAACAGGUGUAGCAAUACAUGCUGACGAGAGGCGGACGGGUGAGUAAUGCUUGGGAAUCUGCCUAUUAGUGGGGGACAACCCGGGGAAACUCGGGCUAAUACCGCAUACGCUCUACGGAGGAAAGCCGGGGACCGCAAGGCCUGGCGCUAAUAGAUGAGCCCAAGUCGGAUUAGCUAGUUGGUAGGGUAACGGCCUACCAAGGCGACAAUCCGUAGCUGGUCUGAGAGGACGACCAGCCACACCGGAACUGAGACACGGUCCGGACUCCUACGGGAGGCAGCAGUGGGGAAUAUUGGACAAUGGGGGCAACCCUGAUCCAGCGACGCCGCGUGGGUGAAGAAGGCCUGCGGGUUGUAAAGCCCUUUCGGUGGGGAAGAAAAGUCUCGACCUAAUACGUCGGGACCUUGACGUAACCCACUAAAGAAGCACCGCUAACUCUGUGCCAGCCGCCGCGGU